rnacentral:lncRNA from 10 species
GGAAACCCGAGUUGGAAACAGUCAGCUGGGGAGGAGAGGGAGCAACUUAUUUGCUGAAUCUUUCCUGCUUUGUUUCUGCCUUUGGUCAAAGUCUUACCCUCAGGACAUCCAUAUCCCAGAAGGUUUUUUUGUUUGUUUGUUUAACCUGGCCAAUUCUCUAGGAAGCAUCCAGGGAAACCCAAGCUUUAUUGGCCAUAAGCCAGACACUGUGUAGGCAUAGGGGUCUCUUUCUGUCAGUUGGCACCAAGCAAAGGGUGCUUCAGUCUGCAGUGUUGGUAUCAGCAGUGGCUAUCAGAACUCUACAACUCUCGGAAUAGCUUCUGCUACAGCUGAUCUGGCCAAGAAACCAGGCAAGUGGCCAAGGCCUGAAGAGGCAUGGCUGAAUUGAUCUAGAGUGGCAGAGCAAGUCACCUUGGAAGAUAACUUUUUUGUUCAGAGAAGAAUCACUGGAAUGGUCCUUUUAAGAAAAAGCAAGCCAAGAAGACCAGAGGCUACCACUGAUGCUGAAUGACCAUCUCAUAAACCACUCAUGUCAUUCUGAGGGAAGCAGGCCCAUGUCCUUACUCCCAUCUCUGGAGCAGUAGCUUAGAGAUUUGCUAAGGGAGUAAGGCAGGCAUACAAAUUAUAGGUUGAAAAAGUACAGUAAAUGAAAUAAAAAAUAGAGUAGUAGAUUAGAACUAAAAGAUGAAACAUUCAGCAAACAUGAAACUAGGUUGCAAGAAAUUAUGCAAUCUAAAGAACUGAGAUAAAAGAAUAAAGAAAGUGAAUAAUGCUACAGAGGAAUAUAGGACAUCAUUUACCACCAUCAUACGCCUAAUAGGACUACUAGGAGAAGAGAUAAGAGAGAAAGCAAUAGAAAAACUACUUAAUGAACUAAUGGUUAAAAACUUUUCAAAUUUGAUGUAAAACAUGAAUCUAUAUAUUCAAAAAUCUCCAAAAUCUCCAAGGGCCAAACCAUCAGAAAAUUAUGAUUAUAAACAUACAUGCACCAAACAUAGCCUCAGGAUACAUGAAAUGAAGACUAGAAAUAGAAGGGAAAUUCCUCAACCCAAUAAAGGACAGCUGAGAAAAAUCCACAGCCAACAUCACGGUGAAAGAUUAAAUGUCAUCCACCUAAAAUCAGGAAAAAGACAAGAUUCUCCAUUCCUGUCACUUCUAUUCAAAACUUUACUGGAUAUUUUAUCCAGUACAGUUCGAUUAGAAGGAGAAAAAAAGGAAGGAAGGAAGGAAG